rnacentral:lncRNA from 1 species
AGAGAAUACAGACAGGGAAUGUGUCAAAGAGACAUCAACCCGACAAAAGAGCAGGAAACAACCCAAUGCCACCAAUGGGUCGUGUCAUCACCAAAGCGAGAUAAUCUCGCAUCCCGUAGCGGGAUUCAGCUUGCAGCAAGACAUUUCUAAAUGUGUAUUUCUGUAUGAUGUUUUUUUCCAAACAUUUUGUUUUUCAUAUAUGCUAUGCUGGUGACCAAAAAUUAAUAUGAUUUUAUUAACAUUUACUUUAUUUUGUAGACAAACCAAUGAUGAUUUCGGGACACAGAUGUAAUGUGUAAAAUGUGAAGAAUUAAAAACUCUAUAUAAAUAUACGAAUUUUCAUUGUAUCAUAAACAGCUUCAAUUUUAUAAGAAAAAAGAUUCAAAGAUUUUUUUUUAAUUACUGAAGCAGCAAUCAUUAUAAAUAAAUCACAGUAUCAAAAAUGUUGGGUUAACAUUAUUUUGAUAGCAACCACAAAGGGAAAAAAGGUACACAGACAUAUAUUAAGUAAAUAAAACAAACAUCAAGAAACACA